rfam:Cucumis melo, WGS project CAJI01000000 data, contig: 02205
GUUCCCUAUGAUGUUUUAUGUAUUUAACCAUGCUAAUACUGAUCACAUAAUGAUUGAUCUUCAAGUUAUCUCUGAGGGAAUU